rnacentral:rRNA from 1 species
UGGGGAAUUUUGGACAAUGGGCGAAAGCCUGAUCCAGCAAUGCCGCGUGUGUGAAGAAGGCCUUCGGGUUGUAAAGCACUUUUGUCCGGAAAGAAAUCCUUGGCUCUAAUACAGUCGGGGGAUGACGGUACCGGAAGAAUAAGCACCGGCUAACUACGUGCCAGCAGCCGCGGUAAUACGUAGGGUGCAAGCGUUAAUCGGAAUUACUGGGCGUAAAGCGUGCGCAGGCGGUUUGCUAAGACCGAUGUGAAAUCCCCGGGCUCAACCUGGGAACUGCAUUGGUGACUGGCAGGCUAGAGUAUGGCAGAGGGGGGUAGAAUUCCACGUGUAGCAGUGAAAUGCGUAGAGAUGUGGAGGAAUACCGAUGGCGAAGGCAGCCCCUGGGCCAAUACUGACGCUCAUGCACGAAAGCGUGGGGAGCAAACAGGAUUAGAUACCCUGGUAGUCCACGCCCUAAACGAUGUCAACUAGUUGUUGGGGAUUCAUUUCCUUAGUAACGUAGCUAACGCGUGAAGUUAACCGCCUGGGGAGUACGGUCGCAAGAUUAAAACUCAAAUGAAUUGACGGGGUCAUA